rnacentral:lncRNA from 1 species
GGCCACACCCUCUCCCCACCCGACGAACGAUGUGACGUCCGAAGUCUGCGGUCAAAAAAACAAAAAAAAAAAAAAAAAAAAGAAGUAACCGAAGGGACAAGCCGGCGAGACGCACGCGUUUCUCAUUGGCUUGUUAACUACAACACGUGCUUUUUUGUUUGUCUGUUUAUUUAUUUAUUACAUGACGCCAUGUGCCCGCGUGACGUCACGCACUGUAUCCCCGGCUGUAGGACGCUCCGCGCGGCGCGCACAUGGCGAGCCUCGGACCGCGCCGGAAUACGCGCCUCUCUCCACGCCCGGCGGUGCGGGGACACGGUGGCUCUACCGGUCUACUGUGGAAAAAUCCCAGCAAAAUAAGUGGACAUCCUGCUCCGUUCCUCCUUCUUGCCCCCUCCCAACACUUGUAGAAUCGGCACACCCUAGAGAACCUGUGAACCCGAUGGAGACGUCAGAUGUGCAGAACAAUUAUGGCCCUGGACGGAGUGGCCAGUGUAUCCAGGUGGAAUUCUUGUCCACUUUGGAUUCGUAUGUGGAGGAUCCAUGAAGGGGCAUAUAUAAUGAUGUACAAUUAUAACAGUAUGUAUGUGAAACACUUGUUGAUUGGUUAAUGUUGGGGGCCUGAUCAUUAAUCAUAAUCUAUUCAUGCAACAAAAGAACUUUGGAACUCAUAUGAAUAUUCCCUGUACUUGUUCUUCUAGGUUUUUCUGUAAAAAAUAAAAAUAAAUUUCCUUCCUUCA